GGAACCCGGAGGCCUGGAUCCGGUCCCAGAAUGGAACGGAGUCGGCGCCACUGCCCCGGCCGUGCCUCCAGCCGCCCGCCCGGCCGCAGACCUCUUGGUGUCUUCGCCCUGCGCUCCGGGCUAGCUCCCUCGCUCUCGCGGCACCCGCUGCAGUUUCUCUCCUCCUCCUUCGGCUCCUCCGCUUCCCUCUUCUCCUCCUCUUCCUCGUUCCUCUCCUCCUCCUGCUCCUCUUCCUCCUCCUAUUUCCUCCACCUCCUCCUCCUCAGCUACCGCCUCCUACUGCACCAACACCACUCCCUCCGGGGCACCCGGGUCCCUGCAGACUCUCGGGGGCCGCUCUGCCUUUGCUGCGGACCCCUGGAUCCUAAACCAGCGUCGCCGGAGCUGAUGGGACUGAAGCACCGACGGACGCACAGAUUUCUUCACGCCCUGAGCUCCGCUGAAGUUGUCCCCUGGAGGCCCGCACCCGGGUCACUGAGAUGGCUUCAGGCGCCCGGCGAGGUUCCCAGCACCCCAUCAUGUAUACCUGUGUGGAACCUGAUCCGUGUCAGAGACACUCCUCCUACAACCCUGCUCCCAUGGGAUCCCAACUGCCAUACUCCACUCUGGGAAGGGUCUCCUCAGCACCUGUUGGCUGGGUUUAUGAUCCACGGAAUACUGAACAGCUCCAGUGAGAGAGGAGUUUGAGGGCAGACCCCGGAAGGGGCAUCUGAGAGAUGGGAUACAUCAUACAUCACGACACAGUAAAUAUAAGAGGAAAAUGACUCUUCCAGAAGAGUCAACAGGGAAGCUUCUCCACACACACACAGUAUGUGCCAAGCUCUGAAUGGAAUACUGAUUAAGACAAUGGUGACUCAGGGUGACAAGGCCCUCCAGGAGAAUGAAAGAUAUGAACCAAACGCCGAAGAAAGGAAGCCACGGUGUGUGGUCCAAAAAUAACAAGUGGCUGUACAGCGUCCAACCAUCUACAGCUCACCUGCUCAUCUGGCCCUCGAGCAUUCCUGUCAGCCAACAGGGAACGAGCUGUCGUUGGUUAUCAGUGGCUGGACUGAUGAGCGGCUGAGUGUCCUGCAAACCUCUCUCUUCGUGUGCACCAUGCACGUAAGGAGGAUGGAGACAUGAGAUGCAGAGCUUCGGGGAACUGGGGAAUGAAUAGACAUUCACCUAUCAGCUCCCUAGCCCUCCAGACAAAACUAUAGUAUAUAUCAUCUUAAAGCUUGCUUUUCAAAAAUCUGAUGAUGCAUCCUGGCUAUUGUCUUACUCGACAAUACGACAACGGGGCAAUACACAACCACGAGUUAGUGUAUGCGACACAAGCUGGACUCAGUGGGGAAAGGAGAAAGAAAAAAAAAUCUUAAAGUUGGGUAGGAAGCGACAGGUGGGCUGAAAGGGUGGAAAAGGGGGAACUGAGGGGGCAAAUAUGGUCAAAAAAUGUUGUGUGGACUUCUCAAAGAAUUAAAAGAACGCCCCCACGUGUUUGCCGCCAGUCCAGAGGGUCGACACCCUCACCCAUGAUUACAUGGAUCCUCACAUCGUACAUGCUUCCGAAAGACUGAGGCGGAAGAACUAGCUCUGAUUUGUAGAUCUUCAGACACCAACUGAAUACCCCGUGGUUGCUACUGCUCUGUUUCAAAACGAAGGUGGAGUCUCUGGUGAAGAGGAUGUGGACCAAGGGAUGAGAUCACGGCACUGGGAAGUUGUGCGUGAUGGGAAAAGUCGUGGCCUGUAAGAAACCACAGAAAGACUGAGGUCUGCAGAGAAAAGGGCCGGCGAGGAGGCACACUGUGUUCCCUGAAGCCUGAUGAUUGGGCCCACAGCUGCCCACACUCAGGCACCAAUGAGAGCACGGCUUCUGGCCCUGGGUGGUGAAACUUUCUGAAAGAUUCCUGAGCUUCUAGCUAGGAGUGGCCAUUCGAAAGCAGCUUUGUUGGCAGCGAAGCCUGGAAAGUCAUAUCCCUCCCGCCCAGUGACGCUCUCCACAGAUCCUACAUGAGCGGCGGCAGCGGCCAGUUUUUAAUAAGGCUUAUUUAAAAACAAAAAACAAAUCAGCUUAUUUUUCAGUGUGAAAUGGGUUGUGUGCGUUCGGCCCUAAUCCCUGCGGUCAGCCAGCAUUCUGCCACUACACCAGCUGUCCAGGUCCCCACAGACUGCCUCACUGAGGGUUAUGUCCUCUGUCUGAAGACAAAAAGAAAAAAAAAAAAAAAAAGGCAGAAACCCACUAACGCAUUCAGUGCGGUGAAAACUUAAUCCCAGAUAUAAUUCUCACUCGAAUGAGGAACGUGAACUGGCUGAAGACGGAACUCAGCAAACACUGCUUCUGAAUUGAGGUCACCAUUCCCUUAAUGCCCCAUCGCUGCUUCUGCAAGGGAUUUGCACCACAUAGCAGGUCAAAGCAUGUUGAUGGGUUUUCCUUACUGGGUUUGUGGGUCCCUCUUGGUAAGUAAACCCAGUGGGGAGGAGUGUGCCUUGUGCCCCAUACAUGCCAACAGAUCUUCCAGGACACUCGGGUAUCAAGACUACAGGCACAUAGGUGUUAAAAAUGGAGCCUCUGAAGCCCUGACACCUUGGAGAAGCCUCUUAUGCAGGGACUCCUUCUCCAACAGGAUGAAUGACUCUUAUCUCUCUGGAACCUGAAUCCAAAUAAAGUCUUCCUUCUAUAAA
rnacentral:antisense_RNA from 1 species